rnacentral:rRNA from 1 species
UCCUAGACGUUGUUCGGAAUAUUGGGCGUAAAGCGGUGCAGGUGGCUCGUUAAGUCAGGUGUGAAAUCCCAGGGCUCAACCCUGGACGUGCAUUUGAUACUGAUGAGCUUGAGUGUGGGAGAGGCUACUAGAAUUCUUGGUGUAGUGGUAAAAUACGUAGAUAUCAAGAGGAAUACCGGUGGCGAAGGCGGGUAGCUGGCCCAACACUGACACUCAGACCCG